AGCCUCGCCCGCCUGCCCUGCCGGGCCGUGGUUUUGCUCUUCGGCUGCUCCAGCGCCGCCCUGGCCCCGCGGGGAGCGCUCGAGCCCUCGGGCACCGUGCUCAAGUUCGUCCUGGCCGGGUGCCCGCUGGUGCUGGGGAACCUGUGGGACGUCACCGACCGGGACCUGGACCGGCUGGCGCAGGCGCUGCUGCGGGGGUGGCUGGGGGGGGGCCCCGGGACCCCCCUUUUGGGGCAGCUGGCCCAGGCCCGCCAGGCCCCCCGCCUCAAAUGGCUCAUCGGGGCCGCGCCCGUGGCCUACGGGCUGCCCGUCAGCCUCUGCUGAGGGGCCGGGGGAGUUUGGGGUCCCCCCAUUGCUGGGAGUGAGGGUUUGGGGUCCCUUUGUCACCUUUGGGGUCCCCCCAUUUCUGAGAGAGGUGCCCUGGAGUGAGGGUUUGGGGUCCCUUUGUCAUCUUUGGGGUUCCCCCAAUGCUUGGAGUGAGGGUUUGGGGUUCCUUUGUCACCUUUGGGGUUCCCCCAUUUCUGAGAGUGAGGGUUUGGGGUCCCUUUGUCAUCUUUGGGGUCCCCCCAAUGCUUGGAGUGAGGGUUUGGGGUUCCCCCAUUGUCAGGAGUGAAGGUUUGGGGUCCCUUUGUCAUCUUUGGGGUUCCCUCAUUGCUUGGAGUGAAGAUUUGGGGUUCCCCCAUUGCCUGGAGUGAGAGUUUGGGGUCCCUUUGGUGCUUUUGGGGUUCCCCCAUUGCCGGGAGUGAGGGUCUGGGGUUCCCCCAUUACUUAGAGUGAGGGUUUGGGGUCCCUUUGUCAUCUUUGGGGUCCCCCCAUUUCUUGGAGUGAAGGUUUGAGGUCCUUUUGUCAUCUUUGGGGUUCCCCCAUUGCCUGGAGUGAAAAUUUGGGGUCCUUUUGGUGCUUUUGGGGUUCCCCCAUUGCCUGGAGUGAAAAUUUGGGGUCCCUUUGUCACCUUUGGGGUUCCCCCAUUGCCUGGAGUGAAUUUUCGGGUGGGAUUCCAGUUGUUUUUGGGGUCCCCCCAUUAUUUAUAGGGGAGAACUGGGGGGUACCCCCAUUGCCUGGGGGGGGCUUUGGGUUCCUCCCAUCACUUUUGGGAUCCACCUGUGCCCUUUGGACUCCCCCGUUUGUUACUUUUGGGGGUCCCCCCAUUACCUCUGGUGCCAAUUUUGGGGCUCCCACCCCGCGGGGAUUUUUGGGGCGUCUGAAGGGAGGAGGGGAGGGUUGAAACUGCCUUAAUUUUAACAAAAUUUUAACAAGAUUUUUAACCAUAAAUUUGUUUUUAUUAUUUGCCUGU